rnacentral:rRNA from 1 species
UACGUAGGGGCCGAGCGUUGUCCGGAGUUAUUGGGCGUAAAGCGCGCGCAGGCGGCCUCGCGCGCCCGACGUGAAAGCCCCCGGCUUAACCGGGGAGGGUCGUUGGGGACGGCGGGGCUUGAGGGCGGGAGAGGGUGGUGGAAUUCCCGGUGUAGUGGUGAAAUGCGUAGAUAUGCGGAGGAACACCGAUGGCGAAGGCAAUCCCCUGGGCCUGCACUGACGCUCAUGCACGAAAGCGUGGGGAGCAAACAGG